UCGAAUCCUACCAGGGAGGGAGGGAAGAUGGGACAAAGGAGUCAAGGCUGUCGCCGGCAACGUGCACGCCUUCCUUGUUCCGUGGACCCCCCUUUCUAGUUUCCUUAUCCACCUGUGCACCCUUUGUAGGCCCUCGAAAGAGGAUCUACGUUUUCUCUAUAUACGCUUUUUGCUACACAUGUCCAGAAUGUAUACAAACUUUUACAACUUUCAGCAAUGGAUCUCUUGGCUCUCGCAUCGAUGAAGAACGCAGCGAAUUGCGAUAAGUAAUGUGAAUUGCAGAUUUUCAGUGAAUCAUCGAAUCUUUGAACGCACCUUGCGCUCCUUGGUAUUCCGAGGAGCAUGCCUGUUUGAGUGUCAUCGAAUUCUCAACCAUGUCUUGAAUUAGGCAUGGCUUGGACUUGGGGGUUGCUGGCACACUGUCAGCUCUCCUGAAAUGCAUUAGCGAUGGUCAGCAAGCCUGAACGUGCACGGCCUUUUCGACGUGAUAACGAUCGUCGUCGGCUGGAGCGUAGGGCGAGCGGUGAAUCGCUUCCAAUCCCUGACCCAAGCCUCAGUUACUAGUCGGUCGUGAGGCCGACGAACACGAGGCCCAAGUCAACCUUGAUCCUUGGACCCAAGCCUUAGUUACUAGUCGGUCGUGAGGCCGACGAAUGCAGGGCCUAGGUUAGGACC
rnacentral:rRNA from 1 species